rnacentral:rRNA from 1 species
AGAGUUUGAUCCUGGCUCAGAGUGAACGCUGGCGGCGUGGAUUAGGCAUGCAAGUCGAGCGAUCCUUGUUGAACUUGAUCUGGAGUGCUUGCACAAAAGUGAAAAGUUUGACGCGGGAUAGCGGCAAACGGGUGAGUAACGCGUAGAUAACCUUCCCAAAACACAGGGAUAGCAUCGUGAAAACGGUGGUAAUAUCUGAUGUUAUCAGACCUUCGCAUGGAGGACUGAUCAAAGGUGGGGACCCCUCGGGGCCUGCCGGUUUUGGAUGGAUCUGCGUCCUAUCAGCUUGUUGGUGAGGUAAUGGCUCACCAAGGCGUAUGACGGGUAGCUGGUCUGAGAGGAUGAACAGCCACACUGGGACUGAGACACUGCCCAGACUCCUACGGGAGGCUGCAGUCGAGAAUAUUUAGCAAUGGGCGAAAGCCUGACUAUGCGACGCCGCGUGAAGGAUGAAGGCUCUCGGGUCGUAAACUUCUUUUCUUAGGAGAGAAUGCUUAUCGUUUAAUAGGCGGUAAGUUUGACGGUACCUAAGGAAUAAGCCACGGCCAACUCCGUGCCAGCAGCCGCGGUAAUACGGAGGUGGCGAGCGUUACUCGGAAUUACUGGGUGUAAAGGGCAGGUAGGCGGCCUAUUAGGUGAGAGGUGAAAUCCGCUGGCUCAAUCAGCGAACAGCCUUUCAAACCGGUAGACUUGAGGUUGGAAGAGGAAAACGGAAUUCUCGGUGUAAGGGUGAAAUCUGUGGAUAUCGAGAAGAACACCAGCGGCGUAGGCGGUUUUCUGGUCCAAACCUGACGCUAAUCUGCGAAAGCUAGGGUAGCAAACAGAAUUAGAUACUCUGGUAGUCCUAGCUGUAAACGAUGAGCACUAGGUGUCGGGAGUUUAUCUCUCGGUGCCGUCGCUAACGCAUUAAGUGCUCCACCUGGGGACUACGGUCGCAAGGCUAAAACUCAAAGGAAUUGACGGGGACCCGCACAAGCGGUGGAACAUGUGGUUUAAUUCGAUGCUACGCGAAGAACCUCACCAAGGCUUGACAUGUAGGAAGUAGUGAACUGAAAGGGGAACGACCUGUCAAAUCAGGAACCUACACAGGUGCUGCAUGGCUGUCGUCAGCUCGUGUCGUGAGAUGUUGGGUUAAGUCCCGCAACGAGCGCAACCAUUGCCUUUUGUUGCCACCGUAUUUAACCUUCGGGUUAGGUACGAGCACUCUAAAGGGACUGCCUGGGGUAACCAGGAGGAAGGUGGAGAUGACGUCAAGUCAGUACGGCCCUUAUGCCUUGGGCUACACACGUGUUACAAUGGUCAGUACAAAGGGUAGCCAACCCGCGAGGGGGAGCAAAUCUCUAAAAACUGACCCCAGUUCGGAUUGGAGUCUGCAACUCGACUCUAUGAAGCCGGAAUCGCUAGUAAUGGGAGAGCAGCUCGCUCCCGUGAAUACGUUCCCGGGUCUUGUACACACCGCCCGUCAAGCGAUGGGAGCUGGGGGUACCCGAAGUCCUGUGUAGACAGGCCGAAGGUAAAACUGGUGACUGGCGCUAAGUCGUAACAAGGUA